AUACGUAGGGGGCGAGCGUUGUCCGGAAUGACUGGGCGUAAAGGGCGUGUAGGCGGCGGUGUAAGUCUGGAGUGAAAGUCCCGCAUUCAAUGUGGGAAUUGCUUUGGAUACUGCAGUGCUAGAGUGCGGAAGAGGUAAGUGGAAUUCCCAGUGUAGCGGUGAAAUGCGUAGAGAUUGGGAGGAACACCAGUGGCGAAGGCGGAUGUCUGGGCCGUAAGUGACGCUGAGGCGCGAUAGCGUGUGGAGCGAACAGGAUUGGAGGCCCUGGCAGUCCACGCGGUAAACGAUGAAUGCUAGGUGUUGCGGGGAACGACCCCGACAGUGCCUGAGGAAACACAAUUAGGGGUAAGGCUGGGGAGUUCGGUAGGAAGGCUGAGACUCAAAGGAAUUGGCGGGG
rnacentral:rRNA from 1 species